GCCUGACUGGCUCAGUUGGUAGAGCAUGUGACUCUUAAUCUUGGGGUUAUGAGUUUGAGCCCUACGUUGGGUG
rnacentral:tRNA from 1 species